rnacentral:tRNA from 2 species
UCAAGUCCCUCUAUCCCCAAAAAAGUCCAUUUUACUU